rnacentral:lncRNA from 1 species
UUUUUUUCUAAAUGCCUGAGCAGCUUCAUCAUCUUGAUUCGUGUUCGAAUUUCUUGGAAGCUGGUGGCAACUAACCUAAAUUGCUGCAAAAGUUACAAGGACAUGGAAACAUUUUUUAAAUUCUGGAAUUAAAAGAGACAGCUUGUUUUGUCAAUAUUUCCACAGACUAGGCCACUGCAGGGGCCACUGCAGCUGGCCAGGGUGAAGUUGGCUGUGCAUACAGGUCCAGAGUUUUCACUAUGUUGUAUUCCAGGUAGUUGCCCCUUUGCUACCGUUUAUAGGUUUGCUACCAUGAACUGGCAGGUGAAAAAUAGUGUUUGAAGAGGUGAAGCAGCCCUGAGCAGACCAGGAGCACCAUGAUCAGCUUACUCAAUUUCUAUUCCGAGCAAGGAAUGUCAUUACUUUAAAUACUGUGUUCUGGUUGCUAAGGAAACCAAAUAAGUGGGUUGCUAACACAAUCUUAGAACUUUCUAUGAAGAUUAAAGCACUUUGCUCUAGCUAAAGAGCAGAUGGGAGAGUCAUAGAUGGAACCCAUAUUUCUCACUACGUGGGGGAGGGUUAGGCCGGGGAAAAGAUGAAGAGUUUUUCAUUUGUGAGAAGAAGAUAAAAUUUGUAGCUCUUGGCUAUUUAACAAAUAGUCGUUAUUUGCUAAAUCAAUCAAGAUAGGGGUUUAAAUCUGGCUUCCAGUUCCAUUUCCACUACUAAUUUUUUUGUUGUCAAUGUAUUGAAGUCAGUGCAAAGUCUGGGAAGUCAGUUAUGGGAUAGAAAAUAGUUGCGUUUUAGUUGGCCCAUUCCUUUUGGUCAUUCUUAUAAAAUAUUUUAAGUACAUAAAAAGCUCUACACAAUUAAGGAAAAGUCGUGUUGAUUAAAGCACAGCAUAGGCUAAAAAAAUGCAAAGUGGUCAGUCUUGCUUUGUUACUUUCAUAGCCUCUCUACUUUCUGCAUACCUGCAUACCGCGCACCUGCGCCACUCUGCUUUCUCCGGCCUCCAGUUCAAAUUUUAGCAGGGGUUGGAGCAGUAAGAACUAAGGUGAUCAGCUUAAUUGCCAUGACCCAUUCUGGGGACAGGACCCUUCCAGGCCACCCUGAGGGUGCUGGCAGUCUUUGGCUAUGGUAGCCUUAGGAAAGUGCCCAGCUCACAUCCAACUCAUGACCAUCCUUGACCAAAAAAUGGCCUCACCAUUUCCCUAAAGAGCCAAGUUAUGAUUCACCCAGUACAUCCCCUGAUAGAAGAGGAAAUCAAGAACCAGAGAUUCCAGGGGCUUGCCCAAUAUUAGAGAAUAGAGAAACAAGAAUUCAGGCCUUCCCAAACCCCAGUACUGUCAAAGCAUCCAGGAUUGCUUCUGGUGGUGCUCCUCCUAUGCAUCUGCAUGUCUUCUACCCCUGGGCAGAGCUUGGUAUGUUUUUUAAUGUGUAAAACCACAAUAAAUGUAUCAUCUCUAGAGAUAAAAGAACUGGGGGUGGGAAUCACAUGAGUGUAAAAUGUUGGACAUCAUCUCAAUUUUAGAGGUUGGCAAACCAUUUCUGUAAAGGGCCAGAGAAUAAAUAUCUCAGGCUUUGCAGGCCGUAUAAAUCUCUCACCUCUGCAUCGUAGCACUGAAGCAACCAUGGACAAUAUGUAAAUAAUGUGUGGCUGUGUUCUAACAAAACUUUAUUGACAAAAAGAGGCUGCUGGGCAGAGUUGGCCCACAGGCUAUAAGGCAAUAGUUUGCUGAUCACCUUAUCUAGAAGAUUACAUCAUUUAAUUGGUACACUUUAUUAGGAAAAGAGAAAAUUAAGAAAAUGGUUUUAUCUUUCUUGGUCAUCAUGGUGUUUUGAGUAUUUGUAAAAUAGGAACACAGUAAUUUCUUACCUUUCUAAUUACAGAUGUUACAGGAUUUGUUAGAAGUUCACCAUUUUCCUUACAAUAUUGGCUUUAAGAAGGGGGAAGCAAGGAAAAGGAACAAUGAGAGGGAUGAUGACCUCUAAUAUUUCUGUGAUUGAGAAGCCAAUAUUUUAAAAGUUUUCCCUCUUUUUAUCCAGAGCUAACAAACAUUAACUGCUUUAAUUUCAAUUCAUUACUCCAUUCUCAAGCUGAGGGUUUACAAGGGAAUGAAAUUCUCUAACUCAGUUAAACAGAGAGAAGACUGAGAAGUGAAGGGUGAAAACAAUUACCUGGAGAAAUCUGCACAAGGAAGUAGGAACUGCCUUACUCACAUCACUCAUCUCCUGGUAGAUGAGGAUGCAACUGACACUGCCUCCCAUCAGAGGCCUACCAUGGGAAUGCUGUGGCUAUUAUCUGCUCCCUCUGGGUAAUUCAAAGCCAUGGCUAGAUGAAGCACUCAUUCCUUCCACAGAAACCUAUUACGCCAGCCUCCAAAACCAUAGCUCACCAGAUCACAAUUCCAUUCUUUGGUUGGUUCCUCAGCAAUUACAUGAAGAACAUCAUGCUCAGCCAGAAGCUCCAAAUUUCACGCAGCUCAUUAUCUUAUUUGCUCCGAUCCUCUGCUUCCAACUGAAACCUUAGAUACAGGUACAGCCAGUUUAUAGUCGCACAAUUAUCCAACCCAUUUCUGCAAGAGUAAGGGUCACCUUGCUUGCCACAUGGUUGCCAAAUAAUUACUCAAAGUGUCAAAAUGGAAGGAGUGGGAAGGGAGAAAUACAGAGAUUGAGACUGGGUCCAGAACUGAAACACCUCCCAUUUCCCAAACCAUAUUUGGCUCUGCAACCACAAGGCUGCCACUGAUGCCUAACACAUAAGCCAAGUGUAAUAUUUCAUGACAAUAACAUCAGAAGAACCCAAACUAAGCCAAAAGUACUGACUGAAUUGCUAAUCUAGAAAUUUCACGUGACCUAUUCACCAUGU